AGCGAACGCUGGCGGCAGGCUUAACACAUGCAAGUCGAGCGGGCAUCCUUGUGGUGUCAGCGGCAGACGGGUGAGUAACGCGUGGGAACGUGCCCUUCGGUUCGGAAUAACUCAGGGAAACUUGAGCUAAUACCGGAUACGUGCGAGAGCAGAAAGGUUUAUCUGCCGAAGGAUCGGCCCGCGUCUGAUUAGCUAGUUGGUGAGGUUAUGGCUCACCAAGGCGACGAUCAGUAGCUGGUCUGAGAGGAUGAUCAGCCACACUGGGACUGAGACACGGCCCAGACUCCUACGGGAGGCAGCAGUGGGGAAUAAUGGACCAUGGGGGCAACCCUGAUCCAGCCAUGCCGCGUGAGUGAUGACGGCCUUAGGGUUGUAAAGCUCUUUUCUCCGGGACGAUAAUGACGGUACCGGAGGAAUAAGCCCCGGCUAACUUCGU
rnacentral:rRNA from 1 species